CGCAGGUAUGGAGAAGGGGAAUCCCGCUGGAGUGGAAUGGUGGAGUGGAUACCUCGCUGAUGUAGGAUGGAGUGGGGACAACGAGGUUGGACAACUGGCUGAGACGGUGGAGCCUGGCAAUAUCCCUGACAUUACACCCCUCCCCCGAAAAACCCCGCCGACGUGGUGGUUGUCCUCUUCCACGGGGAGCAGGUUGAUCCGGGUGGACGGCCCGGGGGUUGGCUAUGUGCGGAGCAGAGACCAAAACCAUCUAGAGGCCUGACGGAAUCCCUGAUGGGGAGCAUGAGUGUGAUAGGGAGCAGGAAACUGACCCAGAAGAGGAGCAGAUGAAGGGCCUCAUUGUGGAUAUCCUCACUGUGUUGGAGGAUGAUGAUAGUUCAGCUCUUGCACGAGUUAUAAAUGUUGCUGUUAUUUUAGAAGAAGACAUUGUCCUUCAGGAUCUCCUUGACCUGCCAACGGCUUUUGCUUACCUCCAGUACCCAAAAGAACUAAGGUACGCAUUUGAAACCAUUCAGAAGGUUUUCAUGGAACUUGGAACAGAUCCCUCAGAAACAAAUUCCUUCAGUGAAUCCAGCAAGUUAGCUGAUAAUGUAGGGUCUGAGACAGUUUUGAAUUGCAGAAGUUCCUCUUGCCCCUAGAAUUAUGUAAAUCUCAGUUGCCUGAUAUGGAUCCUCCUCUACCUCUUCUCCUUUUACUCUCUCUCCUUUUUCUGUCUUCUUUUUCUCAAGUUACCUCUCUUCUCUCACCCUCUUCUCCCCUUUUCCCCUCUCCUCCCUCAAUCUGUCACCCUAACUUGUCUAACUUCCUUACUCCUCAUACUUUAUUCACAUAUUCUCCCUUUCUCACUCAAAUUCUGACCUCUAAAACUCUCUUCUGUCGAGCCAACAUCAUGUUAAUUCAUCGCUGUUACUCCUAAACUCUUAUCUAACUCCUUUUCUUUUUUUGUCUCCCUACCUGCCCAUCUGUCACGCUCAGACAUGCCUGAAUGCUCCCUUACAUUUAUCCAGCACAAUAUUGGAUUUUCUUCACCACAUGGCUUAUGUUAAGAUGUAAUUGUGUGUAAAUUGAAGACAUACCA